UACGAAGGGGGCUAGCGUUGCUCGGAAUCACUGGGCGUAAAGCGCACGUAGGCGGCUUUGCAAGUUAGAGGUGAAAGCCCGGGGCUCAACUCCGGAAUUGCCUUUAAAACUGCAUCGCUAGAAUUGUGGAGAGGUAAGUGGAAUUCCGAGUGUAGAGGUGAAAUUCGUAGAUAUUCGGAAGAACACCAGUGGCGAAGGCGACUUACUGGACACAUAUUGACGCUGAGGUGCGAAAGCGUGGGGAGCAAACAGG
rnacentral:rRNA from 1 species